GAAAAGACUUUGAAACAGCCUAGUGAUAUUCUACUAUUUCUGGUGGAAGAAAGCAGGCAAGCCUACAGACUUUGCUGCAGGUACCCAGGCUUUAACAUGAGCUGACUCACCUUUCUGUCAGUGCCUGCUGUGACUCAGACCUGUGAAAAGAGAAAGUCAAAGAAAACUUGUUCAAUUUUUUUUUUGUCAAAGUAGGUUUUGUUGUUGUUGUUGUUUAAGAAAAUGCAGCUAUGUCAAAUUUUCAGCAAGUCUGUGAUGGAUUUCAUGUUCUUCUUCAUAAAGCAUUUGUGCAUACAGGAUGUGUGCUGCACAGCAUGUAAAACACAGCAGUACCCAACUAGCUGGAAAAAUGUUGGCUAUGAGAAGCAGCUUUCCUGUCCAGCUUGAAGCUCUGUGCUGUCAUCUGUCAUGGGAACAAAGCCUUGGAUGUGGGAGUAAGCCUGAGCGUCUGUGCAGCAGGCAGAGGGCAUUGCAGGGUUUCCAGAACCUGCAGCUCUGAAAUAACCUUGCUAAAGAAGCCGUUAAAAGCAGGAGCCAGUAACACUCCCAAAGCUUCCGCAGACCAUUUUUGGAGCCAGCAGGAAUCUUUGGGUCGCUGGAAAUCUUGGCUGUGCUGGGGGCUUUGACCCCUGGUAAUUUCAAGUUGAGUUUCAUUUUGGAAAGUGAGCUUCAGGUGAUUCUGAAGGUAAAUCCUUUUGGAAAUGUUCCUUUCCACGUAUACAUUUUAAGCUGACACUGAGUAUUUUCCUCCAAGAAUUUUCCUAAAGCGAAUAAAGUGAUUCCAAAGGUUGGUGAAAUGCUGCCAAAAACAUUUUUGAUGCUAUUUACUAUAUACAAAUGAGAAUACCUGCUGAAAGCUAAGACCAGGGACUAUCUAUCCAGUACUUUUUGAAAGGUUUUUCUUCAUUUCCAAUGCUCUGUGUCUCAAAACCACCACUGGGAAAGGCUGUUGAUGCUGCUCUGGAGGCAGUAACGUCCAUGCGUUGUGCAGGAAACUGAGCGCCAUGAGGAGCUGAGCCAGCCUGCUGGAGAAAGGACCCUGAACACACAGAAUGGUAUGAGGAAGAUUUGAGGUCUUUUGUGCCUUUAUUUGUUCAUUUCCUUUUCAAGCCUCAAUCUUCUCAGCAACUGCAACAAAGAAAAACCCUUUUAUGCUCAGAUGUUGACUUUCUGCCCUGGAAAAACCCUUCUUGACUUCUGCUUGCCACCCCAGCCUUGCCCCUCUCCUACUGGAGGAGGCUUGAUGGAAAACCUAGCAGGUGACAAGUGUACCCACAACCAGCGCCAAUCUGCAGAGUGCUUCUGCCAAUAUGCCAUGCCACUGAGAUCCAUUUGGAGGCCAUGCUUCUUGGGUGAGCCUUGUGCUGUCCUUUCAUUUAUGCUCCUUACUGUGUGUUUGCAUGGCCACUGCUCCCAAAUAACUCUGAAAAUUAAGUUUCCAACUCAAAUGAAUGGCUGACUGUACAUGGUCAUAUCAUCACAUCCUCCACAUUUUUUCAACAUCUGCAAAGAUUUGACCAUUACAUCCUUUAUACCUGAGGCACUGCAUCAGGAUGGAUCCUCCUUCGAGUUGCCAGAGCUACAGGGACUGCUUGUGAGUAGAUUGAAAGCCAUCUCUGAAUUGGAACACGACAGCUUUUAAGAAUGCACAACAGUAGCACAGAAUAAUUUGGUAGAGGAGGUUGGAAGAAAUGCUGCAUCCAGCUGACAUGGAGGGAACAGUCACAGAAAAUGGAAAACAGAGAGAAACUUACUUGAUGUACAGCCAAAACAAACAAACAAAACAACAGAAAGAGGUAGUGUGUUUUUUGCUGUUACGUUCUUCUCAACUCCCCAGUCAAGUUUUCCUGGCUUGCAAAGCAAACUAAAACACUAAUUUACAUAUGUAUAUUUUUCUCAACAGAUUUUGAACUUUUUUUGAGUCAGAACAAAUCAAGCCAGAGCAUUUAUCUGCUUCAUAAGUCGCAUUUAUAUGGGUGUCUGAAGGGCAGAUUAUGAAACACAGCAGUAGAAGUUUGCAGAAUCUUCUGGAGAACAUCAUGUCCAACUUCCCCACUCAAACAACAGUCAAUGAGAGCAAGUGGUUCAUCGCCUUUUCCUGCUUGUUUUUGAUGGUCUCCACAACAUUUCUGGGCAACCAGUGAAUAUUGGACAACUGUCACAGCUGGAGAAUGAUUUUUUCUUACACUGAAAGGGAUUUUUCUGUAUUUUGUAUUUUGGUUAGUGGCUGUUGCCCUUGCUGCUUUGCAUAAUGCCAAUGAGGAGUCUGGUUCUGAUCAAAGUCAGUAAGGAGACCAGUACCCGAAAUGCUCCAUGGUUUGAAGGAAGAAGACUGGGGUAAGCUGGAAAUCAUACCACAGGGCAAUGCACUUGUGAGAUUUGCCUUUCUCCCCUGCUGUCUGGAUGAACAUCCAUUCCGCUCUCUCUUGCAAAGCCUCAUGAGACCAGUCAAUGUCUGCUAUGCAUUAUUUUGAGUCAAAGCCUGUGGGAAGAGGUGAUGAUUUCUAUUAACAUAGCAGAUAUUGUGAGGGGAAAAAAAAAAAAAAAAAAAACUUUUUAGCCACAAACUUUUUACAGGACUGUUCCUGUAAAAGUAACUGAAAGAUUUUGCCUUACUACAUGUUGCAGCUGUUUAAUUAAUGCCUAACUCAUUCACUGUAAAAAAUCUAAAGUUUCUUCUUUUCAAGUAUAAAACGAGCACAUUUGUUUCUUGUAAGGAAGUAAAAAAGGUGUGUUCAAAUUAGAAUAAAAGCACCAACAGGUAGUUAAUGAAAAGAUAAUAUGCCAGUUCAUACAAUAUGUAAGUUCAGUAAGAGCUGAUUCACUUCAGUCUCACAUGCAAUCUGAGUUUUCCAGUGUAGAGUCAGUCCUUGUGAACAUAUAACCUUUUUUGCCUCUGGAGGCUGGAACUCACUAGAUGCUAGAUGGAUGGUAGAACUGCUUCUGUCUGACUGUUAUGAAAUGUAAGACAGAAGACAAUACAGAGCACUGACAUAUUUUUCUUUUCAUUUGACGUUGCCCAUAUGCCCCUGUUUGUUCCAGCUACAUGAAUUUAUUUCUUAGAAGUCUGGGUUAUGCUGGCUCAGU